UUUAUCAAGUCCGCCAAAAGAAAAAACUAUUUUAAUAAAAUUCUUUUAAUAAACCAUUUUUCUCCUUAAGCUUGAACUUACUUUCUUCCAAAACAAAAAAAAGAAGCUUAAACCUACGCCCUAAAUCGCUAAAUCCCUAAAUCUGUUAGCUGUGUGGGACUUUCAAUUGACGGGCGACGUGGAAUCAUCGACUAUCUGGUAGCUCUGUGGGAUCUGGUAGCUGGUAAUAAAUGGGAGGGCUAUUCAAGAUAUGUGAAUUUGGAUGGAGUUCAUAUGACUGUAAGUUAUUCUAUCUAAAUGUGUUUGAUGUGGUAAUCUAAUUGUGUGUUGGAUUGAAUUUUUUGUGUCGCGGUAUGUUGUAUGCGCUGGGUUUAUCAGAAAUAGUCGGUAGGUUCUUAGUCAUUAAUGAUUCAAUUGUACCUAAGUAGCUACAGAACAAUUGGCAAUCUUAGAUGAAGCUAUGACUUAUGAAUAUUAGCUCUUAUUUUCUGAUUUAUCGAAAGAUGCAGAUGAUUUCAUAUACCCAUCCCAGCUAGUUUAGGUUUAAGGCAUAGUGUUUGUUGAAAAUAAACAAGAAGUGCACAAUAUUGAGGAUCUCUUUUUACAUCUUGCUAGCGUGAGUUCUUAUAUGCACAACAAUUUAUUCAAUUUAUUGGUGAUUCUCUGAAAAAAUUAUGUUAAUGGAGAUAUAUAGUCCCUGAAUAGCUAAUGUUUUGUUCACUGUCUAUGGCUUUCUAUGUGAUAAAGAUUGAUCUAUGUUCGAUUCUAUUGCAGAGGAUCUUAUCUGCAGAGAUAUCCCAGGGUGGUUAGAAUAUUUAGUUGACUUUAGUGGUCUGCGUGUAAACUUUACAAGUGAUGGGGGGUUGUAGAAUUGUUCCUGAGGCUUGCUCAUUUCCCUCAAGAGUAUCUGACUCCAAGAAGAUCCUCCAACCUCAAUGAUAACUUGCCUGUAAAUUCAAUAUUAGAAAUUGUAAGAAGUACCCAAAGUUAUGGAGGUUUCAGAAUCAUUUUUGAAGGGUAAUCUUUGCAUUGUCUGCUUUUCUUAUCCUCCUUCAAGGUCAAUUUGUAGGAUCUCUACGGGCUACCCAGUUUUCAGAACUAGAAUUAGAAUUCCAAACAUAAGAAAUCAACUUGUCUUGGUUUUAUUUUUCUAUUAGCACAUAUAUCUUUCCACCAUUACAUAGUCAUGACUGUCCGAAUUAUUCUGCAGUUGUUUGAUAUGGUUGUAGGUUAAUGCUUCCUGUAUAUGGUCUGACAUUUACUUGGAAACUUUUCUUAGCCUCUUGGAGGUGUUUCAUAUCUCACAUCUAAUGUGCUCUAGUUGGAGGUCAGAGUUUAGUAAAUGCUUUCUGACUUUUGGUAAAAAUAAGCAUUUGGCGACUGAUGAGUAUUUUAGAUAAUAUCUUCUGUUUGACAUUCAUCUUAGCACCUUUUACUUUCAGUUUCUAUUCCUUACUCUUCACUAAUCUCUUCCGCAUUAUAUCUCGUGUACGUAAAACCUUGCGUAGUUUUUUUGAUGACAUUGGGUGGUUACAACAAGAUCCUGAAAUGGCUCCUGUUGUUGGUGGUUCAGCUAGAUUUAGAGAACUACUAUAAGAUAUUAGGUAAAAUGUUGGAUCUUGCUUGUCAUGCUGGAAAUAGAAACAAAGUCAGAUACUAUCCUUAAAAUUAUAGUCUCCCAAAAUAAAGAGCACAUAUCUUGUCAAUGGUGAGUGGUUAGUCCUUUUUCCAUUUUCUAUCAAUUGAGAUAGGUGUUUAAUGAUUUGAAUACUAAGCCGUACCAACUGCAGACAAUUAAACCAUCUUAGCAGAUGAGAUUCUUUACUAGGUGUUGCCAUGUUUCAUGGUUCUGAGCUGGUUGGUUGUUAAUUUUGAGCUUAUUAUUAUUUUUGCAUCACUGAUAAUAAAAAAAUGUCAGUAGUAAAAGAACAUAAGUGUGACGCCCCGCGUCACCACCCAUUAAAUUCAUCCCGUUUUGGGCACAAUUCCGAGCGUUUCGGGCACAUUUCGGAGCCCGACGGGGCUCCCACAACGUCUCGUGACAAGGCCAACGUGGGGGCAUCUUUGGGAGGUCAAAAUACAAGCUCGGGUCUACAUUUAUGGGGCUUUGGAGCCUUGACCAGCUGGGCAGUGACUGCACAACAAAAACAGCAUACUAGACAAGGGCCUUUCUCCUAGUUCAUAGUUUGCAUGCCCAAAGGUAGUAAUGUUGACUAAGCAUUUAUUGUAUCCCUUGACUAAGGGGCAUUAUAUAUACCUUGUAAGGCCCUCUUGGGCAGAUCAUAUACUUGUUUUUACUCAAGCAAUAUAAUCAGAAAAUUGGCUCUUCGGGCCUCCCAAAACCGAGUGUCUUUCUUGCUAUUUUCCUUUCGAGUUUGUGUGAGUGUUCAAAGGUUCUUGGGGACGAAUUUAGAGCGGGUUUAGGACUGAGUUUAGCAUCGAUAUCACGAGUGUUAGGCUGUCCGCACGCGGCUAAAAUUAGGCCCGUGACAUAAGGUACAUAUGAAUUUAGCUGGUCAGUUGUAAACAGCUGAUUGAAUGGAAUGAUAUAACUGUACUUUUAGUAGGAGAAUGAUUGGUCUAAAGCUUAGAUCAAACUUCCCGAUCUUUGUAGUUCCAUCUUCAAAAAUUUACCAGGAAGCUAAGAUCCACAUGUACUAACAUAUGAAAACAUGAAGGAUCGAACCUCUAUAUAUGGAUCUUUUAAGUGAAUCUCUUCCUUGUUCACUUGUGAUACACUGGUGUAGAUGCUAAUUUCUUAAUUUCACUUCUUUCAAGUAAAAGUUCAUUAUUUAGCCUUUAACUUGCAAGUAAGCUCAGUUGAAGUUACUGGAGCUCGUGCAUCUGUGAGUUCUAAGGUUCAGUCUCUUCUGAAAGACAUUAAAGAGGUGCAUUUUAAGCUUCUUAUAUUUUCCUCGUUGAUCCUUCAUAUUCUUAAUGCUAAGCUGAUAUAUCUUACAGUCUCAUUUACUCUGUGAUGGCCUUCAAAGUUUGGUAUGUUGGGCAAAGAUACAACUCUCAGCAUGCUAGACCUUUCUCUCAAAUUAUGCCAAGAAGAAUAAUGAAAAUUCAAACUCUUAAUUGCAGAGUCAAUUGUGCUUCACUAGCUUUUCUAAACUUCAGAUAUUUGCUUCUCUUUGGUUUUUUUUCUAAAAUUUCCAUCCAAAUGAUCAGGAUUAGCUAAUAUUCAACCAACUUGUGCCACAUCUGUUUACAAACGGGUCGAAAAUAUUAUUUAGUUCCGUUUGAGUUGUUUGGAAAAGUAGGCCAUGAUUCUCCAUUUCACAAGGAUUUACCAAGAUUAGAUGCACCCAAUUUCUACUAUGUUCAGGAAUGAACAUUGUUGGAACAUUUUGUGUUUAUGCUCUAUCAUCUUAAUUUGUUUAUCUGAUUUUGAGUAUUUGAAAUGUGACUUUUGAGUAAAAUAAAAGAAAGAAUUUUGAAUGUUUUGGUCUCAAAUCAAAGGAUUGGUGACUAAACAUAUGAGGUUUAAGUACAAUAAAAUAAAGAAUUUUGAGUGAACUUUCAAACAACCCAGUCAUCAUAUCUUCUGAUUUUUGUUUCACUAAAAUUUCCCUCUUCUGUGCUGUACUAUGUGUUUGUGUGAUAUCUCGUUACUUGAGCCGGGGGUCUUUCGGAAACAGCCUUUCUACCUCAGCAGAGGUAGAGGUAUGGUCUGCGUACAUCUUACCCCCCCCCAGACCCCACGUAAGUGGGAAUACACUGGGUUUGUUGUUGUUGUUGUUGUUGAGUGUUGCAGUCUCAAAUCAAAGGAUAAGUGAAGUGACAUAUGACUUUUUAAGUAAAAUAGAAGAAAGAUUUUGAAUAUUUAGGUCCUAACUCUCUUUUUUCUUCUCAACAGGAGAUUGCUUAAUCUUCUUUUGCAUUUUCUUAGCAGCACACAACGGCAUCCUAUGUCAAUGAUGUAGGCUAAAGAAAAAAGAAAACAACUUUUAAGAAACUAUAUUUACCUAAUAAAAAAAAAAAGGAAGUAAAGAACUUUUAAUUGCUUAUAAUGUGUACAAAUCAUGUGAAUGGCACAGAUUGAAGCAAAAAAUCAUUGUACAAGUCUGACCAGGUUGCUUAUUGACCAGAUUAGCCAGCAGCAAGGAAGAGUAGUGGCUCUUGAAGGUGCACUUUGUUCUCGUGUGUAAUCUUUUCUUUCUUUUUUUGCGUCCUCUUUCUAACUACGUGAGAAAUGGAUUUUUUUCCUGCAUUCGACAAAUGGAGCUAUUGGAAGUCCUGUAUCUUGAAAAUUAUAUGUAAGUUUUCGUCCUAUCGUACAUGAGUUGGGUGAAAAAAUGAACACAUGAAGUGCUAGGACCAAGAGUGCCAGCAAUUAAAGGCUCUUGUUCAGGAUUUUGAAAGUAAAUUCAGAAACUCCUCUUCCUUCUUUCAGCUUUUUGUCAUAUGAAUGUAUGCCGGUAAAAAUCAUACCUAUUGUACGUGAUAAAUAAAGAUAUGUUAAGUGUCAAUGUGUCAGUUCACAUCAUGGAGUAAAUAAUAUUAUGGGCUCUAAUUCUAGAUAUACUUAUGCCUACAAUAAAUAAAUAUACUCAUGCCUACAAGUAUUUGAACUUAUUUAUGUAUUUGAUGUUGUUAAUUUAUCUGUUACAGGCAAGGGCAUAAAAAAGUUGAUUGGAAAUUUGCAGGUUUACACACAUUCUCACAUCUUCAGUCAUGCUACCAACAUAUGUUGACCUUAAUUCUGUCAAAUGUUUGUUCAUUGCCUAAUUACUAUAUACACUAGAUGCCAGUGUCUUCUGUAGUUGUUAGUGGAAAGUUUAGUUUUUAGUUUCAUGGUCUAGAACAUAUUACGUGGAAAGUUAGAAUUGAAGUGACUAAAAAGGAAAGUGAUUCAAAGAAAAAAAGAUCGAAAGGAGUAAAGUAUAUAGAUAAUGGACAGAUAAAUUAUCUAUGAAUUAAUAAAACUUUACUCACUAUACAGGUUUUCCUUAAUGAUAUUGCAUUUAUUUGUUAAUUGAAUAUAUACAUACACCAUCAAAUCUACUACUUGGACCUUUUGAGUUCAUUUGUUGAGCAAAAAGUUUACCAACUGUUCUGAUUUGAAAGUGGUGCACUAAAGCUCUUGCUUUUAUUGUAUGAAGUCGUACUCUGCAUUUUGAAAGAUUAGGUUGGUUAUUGGUCAAUGUAUAGUAAUUACUUCUCCAAGGGAGUUUUGUGAGUCCCGAAUCAUGAAUGCAAUCUGGUUCAUGUCUUUUAUAUUUUUGUGUAAUGAGUUGACCGAUGCUAACCGUGCAGAUAUACAAUUGUAUUGCACGGAUGGAGCACAUUGAUCAUGCUCAUAAAUCUGCGCAGCAUUGUAUUAAAUCAUUGCUAACUACACACGCACACGUGAGUUAAUAAUAAAUAAAAGGCAUAAUAAGAGUGAUAUAGCAUACUUUUUUGCAGGUAAACUGAAGGGGGUUCUUCUUGAAAGUGGGAGUCCUGAGCUAUCAACCUGUCUUGGUUUUAUUUUUCUUUUGGUUUUAUUGUUUUCUCUUCCUCCUCCUCUUCAUCAUUUAUAGACUUGAGUAUCUUGGUCAUGUUCAUUCUCUGACUCAAUAACUCUAUACUCAUCCUCCUCAUCAUCAGGAAGACUUCUUGGAGCUGUGUUGAGAGUGCAGGGAACUUCUUGACCACUUUUUUGUAUCUGAGUAGAAGUAUCAGUAACAUUUGCAUCUUUUUGUUGUCUCUUAUUGAUGGCAUCUCUUUUGUUUUU